UUAAAUAUAUUUAAUGUAAAUAAUUCGAUAUAUAUCUGUGACUGGAGGCGGAGAAAUAUUUAUUAAAAAAAGAAAGAUCGAAUUUGACUUUCGAAACUUUUCAACACACAAAACUCGACCUUCGACCUUCGACGAAAGCACGAUGAUGAAUAAAUUCAAGGCGGUGCUCGAUGACAAAUUCAAGGAUCGUUUUAUAUCUGGAACAGGGAACGUGUUAAAUCAUCGAGUUCGCGCAACUUAUUAAAAAUGGAAGAAAGAAAGGAUGUUCAUGUGUAAUAGAAUAAUAUAAUUUCGAGAAUGAAAUAUAUAGAUAGAUAUAUAUGUUUCGAUAAAUUAUUCACAAUUCGAUUGCUACUGCAAUUAAUAUUCUAAUCUGAAAUUUCGCUCGUUAAACCGAGAGUCGUAAUCGUUGUUAUAAAUUGAAAGAGAAUAAUGGAAUAUUUGAACUGUGCACGACUGUGCCAUUGUAAUUUCGAGAAGGUAUGCUACGUGCGACGGGGGGAUACGUGAUCCGUUUCGUGGGCCAAACGCUGGCGCGCUACGUUUAACGAUAACGCGUGUAACGAAACACGGUGUUUAUAAAAUAUGAAAGUAUGCAGCGUGGAGAGCAAUUACUCGAAACUGAAUGUUAAAAGUUUAGCGCUCGAA